rnacentral:rRNA from 1 species
UAGGGAAUCUUCCGCAAUGGGCGAAAGCCUGACGGAGCAACGCCGCGUGAGUGAAGAAGGAUUUCGGUUCGUAAAGCUCUGUUGUUAGGGAAGAAUGAUUGUGUAGUAACUAUACACAGUAGAGACGGUACCUAACCAGAAAGCCACGGCUAACUACGUGCCAGCAGCCGCGGUAAUACGUAGGUGGCAAGCGUUGUCCGGAAUUAUUGGGCGUAAAGCGUGCGCAGGUGGUUUAAUAAGUCUGAUGUGAAAGCCCACGGCUCAACCGUGGAGGGUCAUUGGAAACUGUUAAACUUGAGUGCAGGAGAGAAAAGUGGAAUUCCUAGUGUAGCGGUGAAAUGCGUAGAGAUUAGGAGGAACACCAGUGGCGAAGGCGGCUUUUUGGCCUGUAACUGACACUGAGGCGCGAAAGCGUGGGGGGGNAAACAGGAUUANAAUACCCUGGUAGGCCNCCGCGGNAAACNAUGAGUGCUAGUUGUUGUCCUCAUAAGAGAUCAGUGCUGGCNGCUAANGCAUUAAGCACUCCGCCUGGGGNGUACNACCGCAAGUUG